rnacentral:rRNA from 1 species
GUACACGCUGUGACUAGCAUAUCAAUAAGCGGAGGAAAAGAAACUAACAAGGAUUCCCCUAGUAACGGCGAGUGAAGCGGGAAGAGCUCAAAUUUGAAAUCUUAAAGGGUUUCCCUUUACGAAUUGUAGUUUAAAGAAGUGUUUUCUGUUGAGGUUUUGGUAAAAGUUCUUUGGAAUAGGACAUCAUAGAGGGUGAGAAUCCCGUAUUUGACCUUUACUUUCAACUUUGUGAUACACUUUCAAAGAGUCGGAUUGUUUGGGAAUGCAGUCCAAAAUGGGUGGUAAAUUUCAUCUAAAGCUAAAUAUUGGCGAGAGACCGAUAGCGAACAAGUACCGUGAGGGAAAGAUGAAAAGAACUUUGAAAAGAGAGUUAAACAGUACGUGAAAUUGUCAAAAGGGAAGCGUUUGACACCAGUGUUGUUUUUCUGAAAAUCAAUUAAAGAACUGUUUAUGCUAAGUUGUUUAGACUUUAUCAGCUAUCUGUUUAGUUUUGAGCUUUUCUUUAAUGCACUUUUCAGUUAACAAGUCAACAUCAAUUUCUUUUGCUGUAAAAAAGCUUGAGGAAGGUGGCUUGAGAUUCGUCUUAAGUGUUUAUAGCCUCUUGCCUAUGCAGUCGGAGAGAUUGAGGUCUGCAGCGUAGAUCCUUCGGGGCUAAAUGCAUUCGUGCUAAGUUAUAGCAUUUUAUAGACAACUUGUUGACUAUGAUUUGUCUUGUAGCUUACUCGCUUAUGUUAUUUUACCUACGCUUAGGAUGUUGAAGAUGUAGCACAUCAU